AGUGAAUAGAUACCCGGGUAGUCCACGCCGUAAACUAUGGAUGCUAGCAGUGCGUCGUAUCGAUCCGAUGCGUUGCGAAGCUAACGCGUUAAGCAUCCCGCCUGGGGAGUACGGUCGCAAGAUUAAAACUCAAAGGAAUUGGCGGGGACCCGCACAAGCGGUGGAGCGUGUUGUUUAAUACGAUGAUAAGCGUAGAACCUUACCAAGGUUUGACAUCUCGGGAAGGUCUGUGAAAGCAGACUGUGCCUUUUGGAACCCGAUGACAGGUGUUGCAUGGCCGUCGUCAGCUCGUGUCGUGAGAUGUUUGGUUAAGUCCAUCAACGAGCGCAACCCUUAUAGCCAGUUGGAUUUCUCUGGCUAGACUGCCCCGGUAACGGGGAGGAAGGAGGGGUAUGAUGUCAGGUCGGUAUUACCCUUACACCUUGGGCUACAAACACGCUACAAUGGCCGGUACAAAGGGCAGCUAAGUCGCGAGGCGGAGCAAAUCCCAUCAAACGCCGGUCUCAGUUCGGAUUGCAGGCUGAAA
rnacentral:rRNA from 1 species